ensembl:lncRNA
CUCUGUAAAACACACAGAGAGAGAAACGACCCUGUGCAGCCUACAGCCUUCUGUUCUUUCCACAUCAAACCUGUACAUCAUCCAUUAUUCCAGGAUUGACCAUCAACACAUCUGACUCAGUGCAGUGUGCACACUGGUCCUGUGUGUGUGUACGGGGACAACAUUUUGGAGGCACCGCUGGGAUUGCUGCUCAGAUGUCCAGUGUCCACAGCCUGUACAUUGAAUUCUGCACCAGCUAAAUCCCCCUAAUACACCGGGCAGGCUGCAGGGGGGCACGUGUUGCUGUUUAAGGAGAGCUGGAAGUUGGUGGUGGAGUACACGGUUCCUGAGGCCAGUUAGAGAUCAUGGAGGACAGUAGAGACCCACCAGUUCAGAAUCAACUCCUACACAGUUAAAGGCCUGCACUGUCAACAUGUCAGUGCUGGAAGAGCUACAGGAAGAGGUGACUCACAUUCUGAAGCACCUUGAAAGAGAGGAAGUGGCAGAGCUAGAAGACAACGGGAUGUCAGAGUUAUUACUACUGAAAGACAAAACUGCAGAUCUGUUCAGUGGCAUCGAUCAUCGCAUCAAAGGUGGAAACGGGUACAUCCUCGUCAUUGUUGACCAUUUCACCCGUUUUGUUCAAGCAUAUGCCACCACGUCAAAGUCAGGGAAAACCUCAUCUUCAAUGACUCCGCUCUCCAAGUGGAGCGGAUGAACAGAACAUUGUUUCAAAUGCUUAAGGUGCUGACUGAAACACAGAAAUCGAACUGGAGAGUCUCCGAACAAACCACUUUAAAUAAUAGCAUGUUUUGUGGCUGGCAUCUCAGUACAAAUAUAAGAAUACAUAAGGACGUAUUUAGGUAGCUCAUAGUUUCAGCGUUUUAAGUUUCAGCUCCACAGAUUAUUUUCAGGAACAGUGUUCCAUCAAGUUCAGUUGACCCUGAUAUCACCCCAAUAUUUCCCCUUAUGAUAAAUACUUCUUAUAGGAGUUAUUUGGUGACUGAUUAAAGAGCGUGGAUAAUGGAGCAUUAAAGGAUAACGCAGAGUGAGAUUGAAGUGAUGGCGCAUUCGGGGCAGAGUGAGAUUGAAGUGAUGGCGCAUGCGCGUUGCGAUUCAGAAAAUGAGCGUGGUGGGGGUUUUUUUGUUUUAAUUUUUUUUUACUUAUUUAUGAAUGAAAUAACAGUAGUGGAAUACAAAGUAUUAGAAAAAACACCUGAAAGCGACCUUUCUUUAUCACAUUAUCGAUCCACUUUGCUUUGGCGAAUUGAUCCACAAUCUUGAAGUAACCUCCAUGAGCCUCCUGUACUCAGACAGAUCAUUAAUAGACAGUGUGAGUGCAUCUGGCAGGUUUUUUAACAAUAACUUAGAAUGAAAUGUAAGAAUUGUGUUGUUGAAGACAUGCUCACCUCUUUUAGACCGCUGUACUUGUCUCUGAAGAUCUUUGGCUGGACGGUAGUUGGGUGUAAUAAGUUUAAUGUUUGCUAUCAUGUCGCUCUGAAGUUUCUGAAUUCUCUCAAUUUGCUCCGUGUCUGGAGUUUGGAGCUUGGUGUUUUCCUCUUAGACGGAACACUUCGCACGUAUUGAACGAGCUCUUCCAGUUUGACCUCUGUGGAGAAACAAAAUAAUGUUUAAUUUGACUGGCUUUAAAUCUUAAAAAUAGAACCUAAAGAAGGAGAAACCGCACGUUUCAUGUCCUGUAGUGCUGACGCUGACGCAGCAUCUCCGUCUGGACCCACAGUUCUCCCUUUUGGAAUCUUAUGUAAAUGAAUGUAUACAUUUAAUCACCUCUUUAAAUGAGCUCAUCAACUGCCAUGUAUUUUCUGUUUCUUGAAAAGACUUAUUUUCAUUGUGCGUGUUUUUGUCUAUCUGUCUGGCCCCUGCACCAGUAGAAACUGUGCACGCACUGCUGUUAUCAAUGUGUAUAAAUACUUCUGCUCUGCACGAAUAAAGUGGGAUGUCUGUGUGAGC